rnacentral:pre_miRNA from 7 species
UUUUUCACCUUGGUGUAAGACCCCCUUUUGGGAGCCCCCACUCUAGUCUCGGGAGUGAGAGAGCAUCCAAAGAAACACAAGAAUCU